rnacentral:rRNA from 1 species
GUCCGCACAGUAAACGAUGAAUACUUGCUUUUGGCGAUAUACAGUCGGAGGCAAAGCGAAAGCGAUAAGUAUUCCACCUGGGGAGUACGCCGGCAACGGUGAAACUCAAAGGAAUUGACGGGGGCCCGCACAAGCGGAGGAACAUGUGGUUUAAUUCGAUGCUACGCGAGGAACCUUACCCGGGCUUGAAAGUUAGUGAAUGUUGAGGAAACUUGACAGACCCCGCAAGGGGACACGAAACUAGGUGCUGCAUGGUUGUCGU